rfam:Ictidomys tridecemlineatus contig072696, whole genome shotgun sequence.
UUGUGUGUGGCUCAGUGGUAGAGUGCUUGCCUAGCGUGCACGAGGCGCUGGGUUUGAUCCUCAGCACCAAAU